rnacentral:rRNA from 1 species
AGUGAACGCUGGCGGUAUGCCUAACACAUGCAAGUCGAACGGCCGCACAGUAAGCUCUUUCUCUUACGGGUGGCGAGUGGCGGACGGGUGAGGCAUACAUCAGCAUCUACUUUUUCGUGGGGGAUAACGUAGGGAAACUUACGCUACUACCUCAUACGACCUACGGGUUGAUGCAGGGGAUCUUCGCACCUUGCGCGAUUGAAUUAGCUGAAGUCGCAUUAGCUAGUUGGCUGGGUAAAGGCCCACCAAGCCGACGAUCCGUAGCUGAUCUGAGAGGAUGAUCGGCCACACUGGAACUGAGACACGGUCCAGACUCCUACGGGAGGCAGCAGUGGGGAAUAUUGGACAAUGGGCGCAAGCCUGAUCCAGCAAUGCCGCGUGAGUGAAGAAGGUCUUCGGGUUGUAAAGCCCUGUUGUUAGGAAAGAAAAGAAGAAGGUGAAUACCCGGAUGUUCUGACGGUACCCAAAGAAUAAGCACCGGCUAACUUCGUG